rnacentral:rRNA from 1 species
UACGGGGGGGGCAAGCGUUGUUCAGAAUUACUGGGCGUAAAGGGCUCGUAGGCGGCUCGUUAAGUCAGACGUGAAAGCCCUCGGCUUAACCGGGGAACGGCGUCUGAGACUGGCAAGCUUGAAUCCGGGAGAGGGAUGCGGAAUUCCAGGUGUAGCGGUGAAAUGCGUAGAUAUCUGGAGGAACACCGGUGGCGAAGGCGGCAUCCUGGACCGGUAUUGACGCUGAGGAGCGAAAGCCAGGGGAGCAAACGGG